rnacentral:misc_RNA from 1 species
ACGCCGAUCCCAAGCAUCAUGGAGCCGACGAUUUGGAUCAAGACCUACAUCCCAAGCACCAAGGUGCCUGGUUGAUAUGGAUCGCGAUCCCGAUCCGGAGCUCCAGGGCGCCGAGGAUUUCGAUCACGAUCCUGAUCUGAAGCACCGAGUAGCUGAGGAUAUGGAUCAAGACCCCGCUCCGAAGCGACAAGGAGGCAAGGAUUUGGAUCACCACUCCGAUCAAAGGCACCAAGGCGUCGAGGGAUUGGAUUGAGAUCCCGAUCCCAAUCAUGAAGUUGGCUACGUAAUUUCCUGUUUUCCACACCGUUCAGGGUAUUUUGGUGGUCGUAUCGGCUUUUAGUUGCUUGCUUGGUGUUAGUGCCAAGGGAGUGGUUGGAAGCUAGGUCGUCCUCUGGAAUGCUUGUUGUAAAGGUGUAUGAGUUGUGUUUGGCUUGUUACGGGUGUUUGUUGGCUGCUUGUGCAGGAACUUUCAUGCGUGCAAGCCUCUUCAGUUGUGCUACAAGGCCUUGUUUGUCUUGUGCAUACGGUGGGUUUCCUGUGUUGCAUACCUAAUCAAGGGCAUCGUAUGGCUUGAUCGAAGUAAAAAUUCGUAAUGCGCCGCUUGCGGCGUUGCACGAACCUCGAAGUGGUCUCUGUGGCCCAUGUUGUCUUUGCUAACGUAUGGAUGGCAUGGCCCUCGGAGCGUCGCUUGGUCUCUUGGAUACGGAACCUGAUGAUGUGGGCGGUAGGGUCUUGGAUGAUUCUACCUUCGC